GAUGAACGCUGGCGGCGUGCCUAAUACAUGCAAGUCGAGCGAACGGACGAGAAGCUUGCUUCUCUGACGUUAGCGGCGGACGGGUGAGUAACACGUGGAUAACCUACCUAUAAGACUGGGAUCACUUCGGGAAACCGGCGCUAAUCCCGUAUAAUAUUUUGAACCGCAUGGUUCAAUAGUGAAAGACGGUCUUGCUGUCACUUAUCGAUGGAUCCGCGCUGCAUUAGCUGGUUGGUAAGGUAACGGCUUACCAAGGCAAGGAUGCGUAGCCGACCUGAGAGGGUGAUCGGCCACACUGGAGCUGAGACACGGACCAGGCGCCUACGAGAGGCAGCAGUAGGGAAUCUGCCGCAAUGGGCGAAAGCCUGACGGAGCAGCGCCGCGUGUGUGAUGAAGGUCUUCGGAGCGGAAAACUCUGUUAUGAGUGAAGAACAGAUGUGUAAGGAAAUGUGCAGAUAGUGACGGUACCUAAUCAGAAAGCCACGGCUAACUACGUG
rnacentral:rRNA from 1 species